rnacentral:rRNA from 1 species
UUCCCUUAGUAGCGGCGAGCGAACAGGGAGAAGCCCAGCACCGAAUCUCGCGGGUUGACGCUCGCCGAGAAAUGUGGUGUUUGGGAGGAUCCAUUUAUCCCGGGGUUUUUGCGGCGAGUCCAAGUCCUUCUUGAAUGGGGCCACGGCCCAGAGAGGGUGCCAGGCCCGUAGGGCCGCUGCUGAUCUCGGGAGGAUCUCUCCUUAGAGUCGGGUUGC